rnacentral:rRNA from 1 species
GACGAACGCUGGCGGCGUGCUUAACACAUGCAAGUCGAACGGAAAGGCCCUGCUUUUGUGGGGUGCUCGAGGGGCGAACGGGUGAGUAACACGUGAGUAACCUGCCCUUGACUUUGGGAUAACUUCAGGAAACUGGGGCUAAUACCGGAUAGGAGCUCCUGCUGCAUGGUGGGGGUUGGAAAGUUUCGGCGGGUGGGGAUGGACUCGCGGCUUAUCAGCUUGUUGGUGGGGUAGUGGCUUACCAAGGCUUUGACGGGUAGCCGGCCUGAGAGGGUGACCGGCCACAUUGGGACUGAGAGACGGCCCAGACUCCUACGGGAGGCAGCAGUGGGGAAUAUUGCACAAUGGGCGGAAGCCUGAUGCAGCAACGCCGCGUGCGGGAUGACGGCCUUCUGGUUGUAAACCGCUUUCGCCUGUGACGAAGCGUGAGUGACGGUAAUGGGUAAAGAAGCACCGGCUAACUACGUG